AGAUGUGAGGGCGAUCUGGCUGCGACAUCUGUCACCCCAUUGAUCGCCAGGGUUGAUUCGGCUGAUUUGGCUGUCUAGGUGGGUGUCCCCUUCCUCCCUCACCGCUCUAUGUGUGUCCCUCCCGAAGCUGUGUGCUCGAUUGAAGAGGACGACCUUCCCAGAUAGAAGGAGGACCGACCUUCAGUCAAGGGUAUACGAGUAGCUGAGCUCCCCUGCUGGAACCUCCAAACAAGUCUCAAAAAAAGCCUUCCUUGCAUACUAUGCUUUUUUGAGAUCUAACUACAUGAAGCAGAGAGACAUCAACUUGGAGAAGAUUAGACAGACACCUUCUCACU
rnacentral:snRNA from 1 species